CCCAAUAAUCUAUACUUAUCAGCAACGUCACAAUGUCUUAGGUGAAGUUAUCAGUGACGUCACAAUGUGUGAGUUAUCAAGCUUAAAACUGUCUAUGGGAGGUGAAAAAGACCAGUAAUAGAACAAUAAACAGAAAAUGAGGUUAUCUUAGUACAUAUAUUGUAAAAUAUCAGCUGCUUGACACAAUUUGAAUCCUUUUAGCUUGUGUGCUACGCUCAGUGGCCAAAAAGGUUCACAUUGUGGCUUGAAGCUGAUAUAUUAAGAUAUUAAUG
rnacentral:lncRNA from 1 species